CUGCGGCGGAUUAGGUAGUUGGUGGGGUAACGGCCUACCAAGCCGAUGAUCCGUAGGGGGCGUGAGAGCGUGGCCCCCCACACUGGCACUGAGACACGGGCCAGACUCCUACGGGAGGCAGCAGUGAGGAAUAUUGCACAAUGGGCGCAAGCCUGAUGCAGCAACGCCGCGUGAGGGACGAAGGCCUUCGGGUUGUAAACCUCUUUUCUGAGGGACGAGGAAGGACGGUACCUCAGGAAUAAGUCUCGGCUAACUACGUGCCAGCAGCCGCGGUAAAACGUAGGAGGCGAGCGUUAUCCGGAUUUACUGGGCGUAAAGCGCGCGCAGGUGGCUUCGUGAGUCGGACAUGAAAGCUUCUGGCUUAACUGGGAGAGGCUGUUCGAUACUGCGGGGCUUGAGGUUGGGAGAGGGACGCGGAAUUCCCGGUGUAGUGGUGGAAUGCGUAGAUAUCGGGAGGAACACCAGUGGCGCAAGCGGCGUCCUGGCCCACACCUGACGCUGAGGUGCGAAAGCGUGGGUAGCAAACAGGAUUAGAUACCCUGGUAGUCCACGCUGUAAACGAUGUCAACUGGGUGUCGGUAGUUUUACACUAUCGGUGCCGAAGCUAACGCG
rnacentral:rRNA from 1 species